rnacentral:rRNA from 1 species
GACGAACGCUGGCGGCGUGCCUAACACAUGCAAGUGGAGCGACGAACCAGGGCUUGCCCUGGGGCCAAGCCGCGAACGGGUGAGUAACACGUGGGUAACCUGCCCCGAUGACCGGGACAACCCGAGGAAACUCGGGCUAAUACCGGAUGUGAUGUCCACACAUAAGUGUGUCCAUCAAAGGAAGCUUCGGCCUCCACAUUGGGAUGGGCCCGCGGCCCAUUAGCUUGUUGGUGGGGUAAAGGCCUACCAAGGCAACGAUGGGUAGCUGGUCUGAGAGGACGAUCAGCCACGCUGGGACUGAGACACGGCCCAG